UUUCCAUUUCCAGGAGUGUAUAUUAAAAUGGGAACGAUGCAGAAAGAAUUAGCAUGGCCUCUGCCCAAGGAUGACAUGCAAAAUCGUGAAGCGUUCCACAUUUAU